AAAAUCCAAUUGAAAAAUCGUGAGGGUUCAAGUCCCUCUAUCCCCA
rnacentral:tRNA from 1 species